GCGCGGGCUUCGGCCUGGCGGCGAGUGGCGGACGGGUGAGUAAUGCUUGGGAAUCUGCCCAGUAGUGGGGGACAACACGGGGAAACCCGUGCUAAUACCGCAUACGUCCUACGGGAGAAAGCAGGGGAUCUUCGGACCUUGCGCUAUUGGAUGAGCCCAAGUCGGAUUAGCUAGUUGGUAGGGUAAUGGCCUACCAAGGCAACGAUCCGUAGCUGGUCUGAGAGGACGAUCAGCCACACCGGAACUGAGACACGGUCCGGACUCCUACGGGAGGCAGCAGUGGGGAAUAUUGGACAAUGGGGGCAACCCUGAUCCAGCAAUGCCGCGUGUGUGAAGAAGGCCUUCGGGUUGUAAAGCACUUUGGACGGGGAAGAAGGGUUGAAGUUUAAGAGACAUCAAUUUUGACGGUACCCGUAGAACAAGCACCGGCUAACUCUGUGCCAGCAGCCGCGGUAAUACAGAGGGUGCAAGCGUUAAUCGGAAUUACUGGGCGUAAAGGGCGCGUAGGCGGUUAAUUAAGUGAGAUGUGAAAUCCCCGGGCUUAACCUGGGCACUGCAUCUUAAACUGGUUAGCUAGAGUACUGUAGAGGGUAGUGGAAUUUCCGGUGUAGCGGUGAAAUGCGUAGAGAUCGGAAGGAACACCAGUGGCGAAGGCGGCUACCUGGACAGAUACUGACGCUGAGGCGCGAAAGCGUGGGGAGCAAACAGGAUUAGAUACCCUGGUAGUCCACGCUGUAAACGAUGAGAACUAGAUGUUGGUUGG
rnacentral:rRNA from 1 species